rnacentral:lncRNA from 1 species
CAGAAAUCCAGGUGCAAGUUGGGGACAGCUCUGUUGCCAGUGAUCACAGUGGAAGUGUUAGGAGAGGUGGCACCCACACGUCACACUGACGAAUCAGAUGUCAAAUGUGAGAAAAACAGAGUCGAGUACUUAGGUACCAGGGCUGAAUAGCUGGAAGGAUAAGAGAGCAGAUCAGACCUGUUCUGACAGAAGUUGAAAGGUAGAGUUCAAGUCCUAGUGAAGAUGUGGACCAGGGAGUUGGACAGAGGAUCUUGGGGUUCAGAGGGGUGAUACAGGCUGAGGACACAGAGUUGGGGGUGUCCACAGUGGGUGGUGUUUAUCAGAGAUCAUCAGAAAGAAGAGUACCAAUGGAGCAGAGGGGCGUCCGGGGUCAGCCUGGGCCCACCCAUGUCUGGAAGUUGAGAUGUGACUGAGUCAAAAAGAGGUCAGAGUACAGAGAAACUACUUUCUUUUUCAAAUGAAACCAUUAGAACUCACAAUGCAAAAGCCAGCUCACAUUCUCCCCACAGGGCCCCUCUGCAACCACGCCAGCUCAAUGUUCUCUUUCUCUCCCUGGGAGCAUGCCCGGUAGUUCCUAUACGGGUCAUUCAUUUGGCACUCUGCUGUCUUGGGCCAAGGAUGUGUCCCAAGGGAAAGUCUCAUGAUGGACACGUCCUAAGCCCACUGUGUUCUCACAUGGAACACAGAACUCCUGACGGGUGGCUUGAGGUUGGAGAGAAGGACUGGUGGGGCCUGUCUAUUCUCUGAGCACCAUUUACUGAGCACCUAACAUAUGCAAGAAAGAGGGAACAAGCAUUUCAACGUGGAGAGAGGAGAAGCAAUUUUGACAAAUCUAUCAGACUCUCAGAUCACAGAAGGGGAAAAAAUCAACUGGAAAGAGAAUGCCCACUUCCUGAGGGAGAAUGACUGUCCCCGACCUCACCCAGGACCCGAGUUCCCUUGCAGGCAAGGUCCAUGGCACCCUGGAGGCUGUGGACUCCCUAGGCCAACCCUCUCUGUCCCUUGGCCUCCCUCUGUUCUUUGGUCAAUGUAGGAGAAGGCGUCUGGCUUCCUCAAUAGAAUGUGGGAACUCUAGAACUGGAACCGGAGGGGAGUCACUUGGUGGCCCAGUAGAAAUUUCACGAUGCUCCAGUGACCCCACACUAUCACCGGAAUUCACAGAGCUCCUGACCUCACCACUCCUCCUGGAAGUCAGCCAUCCACAGAAGCAUUGCUCAGGCUGUAGUCACCAGGAGCCACUUCUGAGCCUCAUGGUGAUCUCCAGGAACACAGAUGAAGAGCAGAGAUGCCUCACUACCAACCUGACAUCUAAGGCCAGACUUUCUCUGGGUCAACUAUGCUGUUCACUUUUGUCCUUGAGCGUUCAUUCACAUGGAGAUUUCUGGAUCACUUUCAUUUUUCUUCUGUGCGGUCACUGUGGCCAGGAGGCUCCCCCUGAAUUGCUGUUGCUCCUUUUCCCCUGGGAGCUCUCUCUCCAUUGGGUACUGUUCUUGCAGCAUUUCCUCGUCAGUGUCUCUGCCUCCCUGUCGGUCUAUCUGCGCUGAGCCUUAGAAAGCAGAACCCAUGUCCUCUGCUUCUCUGUAAAUCUGAGCUCUCUGCAUUGCAGACAGAUGACUGACCUCUCUUGAAAGUUCAAAGUGCCCUGUGAUUUUUCUGAAAACCAGGACUCAAAACAGUGCCCUGCAUGUGGUUGAGCUCAAUGCUUGUUUGAAUAAAGGGAGCCCUUUGAAAAUGCCCUCUCCUGGCUUCUUGCCUCUACAGAGACAUGGACCUUUCUGACCACAGCUUUCCCAUGGAUUUUAUCCUCCACAGCCAGCAAGAGGAGGUCUGAGUCUUUCAGCCCACCUCCUAUAGUUUCAGUCUCCCCCUGGUCCAGGU